UGAACAAAUGAGUUGGCCAGCACAUGUGAGGAAAAUCAAAGUCAAUAUUAAACACCAACCUUUUUUUCUUUUGACAAAACAAAGCCUCUGCCGAACAAGCCAAAUAAAUUUCCUGUGCAACUGUUGAAUAAAGAAAUCGGUGUAAGUGGUAUAGAAAAAAUCCAGUGGAAUUGCGGCUGCACCUUUUCACAUGGUUGAGAGAUUAUUCAACAGAUAAAACUUUCAAGAAAAUUACCAUGCUGUUUGUGCUGCCAUCCAAUCCAUUUAUAAAGAGGUUCGCUGUGUCAGUCUUCAAAUAUUUCUGUCUUGGAUUCCCCUUCUCUUUUACCAUUUCAAAUCGAGUCAUUUUCUGCCUGACUGUGAACUUGCUGUACCAGAAGUAUAUGAGUAGAAUCAAUAGUGAAAGAACUGAGAAUCCCACUUCCUACCUCGGAGAAAAGAGAGCCCGAUGCUGAAUUGUCAUUAUUACCAAUUUGGAGUAGAACUUGCGUUUCAACCAAGAGUUUACCAUCUUGAUUUUCUUGGAGUACCUAGAUAAUGAAAACAUCAGAAGGAAAGGGAUCGCGCGUCAAUUUAAAUAUGUAGCCGAGUUUGACAAAAUGAAAAUCAACGCAAGACACGACAGGGAUCAAAUCCCAACUAAGUAAAGAAAAGAAGCUGCUUUUCAUGUGUUUGAUAAAGGGGAAAAGAACAUAUAUGGAGGUCCAACGACUGGGUGCAUGUGCAUCUUCGGUCAAGUCUAGCAAAAGCUCUUGCUUAUGAAGAACAUAAAAUUGGCAUGAAAAAAAUUGGAAGAGAAAUCGAUUUAUCUACUUUAAUAAAAAGCAUAGGGAGCAAGUUCGGGUUGCAAGGACAAGGAGAUAACCUAUAUUAUUCCAGAAAUUACAUCAUCCAAUUGAUUUUGCUUUAGAACCAAUGGAAACGAAUUUUGUGAGCCAACAAACUCAAAGUUCAUGAAAAAUCAUGAAGAGAAAGAUAUGCCAUAGUAGGGACAGAUUUUAAAUAUUGGAUUACUUAAACAGUUAAACUUCAAUAGGAUUCGAGCAACGACUUCCACACGAGGUAGCACGAACAUUGCAUUAGAAAUAUCACUGUGACUUGUGAAAUAGUUGUCUUUAAAGAGUAAUUUUCAAGGUAUAUUAAAAGUAUGAAAAUUCAUAGAUUGUUG
rnacentral:lncRNA from 1 species